rnacentral:rRNA from 1 species
GACGAACGCUGGCGGCGUGCUUAACACAUGCAAGUCGAACGGAAAGGCUCCAGCUUGCUGGAGUGCUCGAGUGGCGAACGGGUGAGUAACACGUGGGCAAUCUGCCCUGCACUCUGGGAUAAGCCUGGGAAACUGGGUCUACUACCGGAUAGGACCUUUCUCCUCAUGGGGUUUGGUGGAAAGUUUUUCGGUGCAGGAUGAGCCCGCGGCCUAUCAGCUUGUUGGUGGGGUAAUGGCCUACCAAGGCGACGACGGGUAGCCGGCCUGAGAGGGUGAUCGGCCACAUUGGGACUGAGGUACGGCCCAGACUCCUACGGGAGGCAGCAGUGGGGAAUAUUGUACAAUGGGCGAAAGCCUGAUGCAGCGACGCCGCGUGCGGGAUGACGGCCUUCGGGUUGUAAACCUCUUUCAGUAGGGACGAAGCGCAAGUGACGGUACCUGCAGAAGAAGCACCGGCUAACUACGUG